rnacentral:rRNA from 1 species
UACGGGGGGCAAGCGUUGUUCGGAAUUACUGGGCGUAAAGCGUGCGCAGGCGGUUUUGUAAGCCAGAUGUGAAAUCCCCGGGCUUAACCUGGGAAUGGCAUUUGGGACUGCAAGGCUUGAGUGCGGCAGAGGAGACUGGAAUUCCUGGUGUAGCAGUGAAAUGCGUAGAUAUCAGGAGGAACACCGAUGGCGAAGGCAGGUCUCUGGGCUGACACUGACGCUCAUGCACGAAAGCGUGGGGAGCAAACAGG